GGCACUCUGGCGCAAUGGCUAGCGCAUCUGGCUUCGAUUACCAGAUGGCACCAGAAGGCUGCAGGUUCGAGUCCUGCGAGUGUCA
rfam:Punctularia strigosozonata HHB-11173 SS5 unplaced genomic scaffold PTNSTscaffold_4, whole genome shotgun sequence.